UUGACUNUGACCUCAAAUCAGGUAGGACUACCCGCUGAACUUAAGCAUAUCAAUAAGCGGAGGAAAAGAAACUAACAAGGAUUCCCUUAGUAGCGGCGAGCGAAGCGGGAUGAGCUCAAAUUUGAAAGCUGGCGUGCCUUACGGGCGUCCGCAUUAUAAUNCUUAUAGAAGGCUGUUUUCCU
rnacentral:rRNA from 1 species